AUAGAUACUUAACGAAUCGCAUGGCUUGUUGCGGCGAUGGUUCAUUCAAAUUUCUGCCCUAUCAACUUUCGAUUGUAAGGUAUUGGCUUACAAUGGUUUCAACGGGUAACGGGGAAUUAGGGUUCUAUUCCGGAGAGGGAGCCUGAGAAACGGCUACCACAUCCAAGGAAGGCAGCAGGCGCGCAAAUUACCCAAUCCCGACACGGGGAGGUAGUGACAAUAAAUACUGAUACAGGGCUCUUUUGGGUCUUGUAAUUGGAAUGAGUACAAUUUAAAUCCCUUAACGAGGAACAAUUGGAGGGCAAGUCUGGUGCCAGCAGCCGCGGUAAUUCCAGCUCCAAUAGCGUAUAUUAAAGUUGUUGCAGUUAAAAAGCUCGUAGUUGAACCUUGGGCCUGGUUGGUCGGUCCGCUCACCGCGUGCACUGAUCCGACCGGGGCUUUCCUUCUGGGGAGCCGCAUGCCCUUCACUGGGUGUGUCGGGGAACCAGGACUUUUACUUUGA
rnacentral:rRNA from 1 species